rnacentral:rRNA from 1 species
CUACGGGAGGCAGCAGUGGGGAAUCUUAGACAAUGGGCGCAAGCCUGAUCUAGCCAUGCCGCGUGAGUGAUGAAGGCCUUAGGGUCGUAAAGCUCUUUCGCCUGUGAUGAUAAUGACAGUAGCAGGUAAAGAAACCCCGGCUAACUCCGUGCCAGCAGCCGCGGUAAUACGGAGGGGGUUAGCGUUGUUCGGAAUUACUGGGCGUAAAGCGCACGUAGGCGGAUCAGAAAGUUAGGGGUGAAAUCCCGGGGCUCAACCUCGGAACUGCCUCUAAAACUCCUGGUCUAGAGUUCGAGAGAGGUGAGUGGAAUUCCAAGUGUAGAGGUGAAAUUCGUAGAUAUUUGGAGGAACACCAGUGGCGAAGGCGGCUCACUGGCUCGAUACUGACGCUGAGGUGCGAAAGUGUGGGGAGCAAACAGGAUUAGAUACCCUGGUAGUCCACACCGUAAACGAUGAAUGCCAGUCGUCGGCAAGUAUACUUGUCGGUGACACACCUAACGGAUUAAGCAUUCCGCCUGGGGAGUACGGUCGCAAGAUUAAAACUCAAAGGAAUUGACGGA